UAGGGAAUCUUCGGCAAUGGACGAAAGUCUGACCGAGCAACGCCGCGUGAGUGAAGAAGGUUUUCGGAUCGUAAAACUCUGUUGUUAGAGAAGAACAAGGACGUUAGUAACUGAACGUCCCCUGACGGUAUCUAACCAGAAAGCCACGGCUAACUACGUGCCAGCAGCCGCGGUAAUACGUAGGGGGCAAGCGUUGUCCGGAUUUAUUGGGCGUAAAGCGAGCGCAGGCGGUUUCUUAAGUCUGAGGUGAAAGCCCCCGGCUCAACCGGGGAGGGUCAUUGGAAACUGGGAGACUUGAGUGCAGAAGAGGAGAGUGGAAUUCCAUGUGUAGCGGUGAAAUGCGUAGAUAUAUGGAGGAACACCAGUGGCGAAGGCGGCUCUCUGGUCUGUAACUGACGCUGAGGCUCGAAAGCGUGGGGAGCAAACAGG
rnacentral:rRNA from 1 species